UGGGGAAUAUUGGACAAUGGGGGCAACCCUGAUCCAGCCAUGCCGCGUGGAUGAUGAAGGCCUUAGGGUUGUAAAAUCCUUUCGUGGGGGACGAUAAUGACGGUACCCCAAGAAGAAGCUCCGGCUAACUUCGUGCCAGCAGCCGCGGUAAUACGAAGGGGGCUAGCGUUGUUCGGAUUUACUGGGCGUAAAGCGCGUGUAGGCGGGCUGGAAAGUUGGGGGUGAAAUCCCGAGGCUCAACCUUGGAACUGCCUCCAAAACUUCCAGCCUGGACUCAAGUAGAGGCAAGUGGAAUUGCGAGUGUAGAGGUGAAAUUCGUAGAUAUUCGCAGGAACACCAGUGGCGAAGGCGACUUGCUGGACUUGUAGUGACGCUGAGACGCGAAAGCGUGGGGAGCAAACAGGAUUAGAUACCCACGUAGUCCCUGAGCGGGCUGGCAAGGCGCAU
rnacentral:rRNA from 1 species